rnacentral:rRNA from 1 species
AACGAACGCUGGCGGCAUGCCUAACACAUGCAAGUCGAACGAGAUCUUCGGGUCUAGUGGCGCACGGGUGCGUAACGCGUGGGAAUCUGCCCUUUGGUUCAGAAUAACAGUUGGAAACGACUGCUAAUACCGGAUGAUGACGAAAGUCCAAAGAUUUAUCGCCAGAGGAUGAGCCCGCGUAGGAUUAGCUAGUUGGUGUGGUAAAGGCGCACCAAGGCGACGAUCCUUAGCUGGUCUGAGAGGAUGAUCAGCCACACUGGGACUGAGACACGGCCCAGACUCCUACGGGAGGCAGCAGUGGGGAAUAUUGGACAAUGGGCGAAAGCCUGAUCCAGCAAUGCCGCGUGAGUGAUGAAGGCCUUAGGGUUGUAAAGCUCUUUUACCCGGGAUGAUAAUGACAGUACCGGGAGAAUAAGCUCCGGCUAACUCCGUGCCAGCCGCCGCGGUAAAAC